rnacentral:rRNA from 1 species
ACGUAGGGUGCGAGCGUUGUCCGGAAUUACUGGGCGUAAAGAGCUCGUAGGUGGUUUGUCGCGUUGUUCGUGAAAACCGGGGGCUUAACCCUCGGCGUGCGGGCGAUACGGGCAGACUAGAGUACUGCAGGGGAGACUGGAAUUCCUGGUGUAGCGGUGGAAUGCGCAGAUAUCAGGAGGAACACCGGUGGCGAAGGCGGGUCUCUGGGCAGUAACUGACGCUGAGGAGCGAAAGCGUGGGGAGCGAACAG